AUCCAGCUGAAGAGUCCGAAGUAGAACGAGACGCGAGUCCUAGAU
rnacentral:hammerhead_ribozyme from 1 species